UCUCUCUCUCUCUCUCUAUCUCUCUCUCUCUCUCUCUCUCUCUCUCUCUCUCUCUCUCUCUCUCUCCCUCUCUCCUUUCUAUUUAUCAGUAUGUAUCCCAUCUAUAUGGAAUAACAUCAACUAUAUGGGCAACUAAUAGAGAAAGAGACCUAUAUGAGGAACAAUAUGGAAUACAUGAACUUUUAUGGAACUAAACCAAUAUAUCAAAAAUUCCCAUCUCUUUACAAAGCUUAAGCUGUACAUAAUAUCCACACGUGGCAC
rnacentral:lncRNA from 1 species